ensembl:lncRNA
CCUGAGACAGCCGCACAAAGAGGAGGCCCCUGGCCGCUCCCGCCUUCCAUUGAUCCUGGCCCUUUGUGGCUCUGACGACGACGGGGGCGCGAGAGGCGCCGCGCAGGGACUUGGCCCAUUCUCAUUAGGGGACCCCUGUCCCGCCAGCCCUCACCACGGGUCCUCCUCCACAGAUGAGGAAAUGGCAAUGGCACCCACCAAGCAGCUGUGGUUUGGGAGCUGGGAUAUCGCUAUGUGGAAGCCCGUGGCACUUUGCUCUGGAUGCUGAACAGAGGAGGAAGAAGGGAAGAGAGCCUGGGCAGCUGGCUGGGAAAAGGCAGAGGGUGCUUUCCUGUCGCUGCCUGCUCUUGCUAAGCAUUGGGAGAAGAGGGAGAAUGUGGAAGGAGAGUGCACACCUGGGAGCUGCAUCCACUGGCUGACCAGACCAUCCUGAAGCUAUCUGCCAUCCUGAAUGGUUAGCCUCACCAGGUGGCCCUCAAGGAGGCUCAGGGCUUCCUCUUUGACAGGAAGCCAGCAAUUCUGAGAGAUAGAGCAGCUCUCAGCGAAGUUCCCAGAGAAGCUAAGAGCACAGGAUUUGGAAAAUGACUGCCUAAUUCCACUCUGUAUGAACUUGGCCCAACUCCUUAAACUCUCAGUGAAGGGAGAUGAAGAUAAGGAAUAAAUAUGAGCUGUUAUGGGGGAGUGAAUAGGAUAAUGCAUAUAAAAUCUUUG